rnacentral:rRNA from 1 species
AUUGAACGCUGGCGGAAUGCUUUACACAUGCAAGUCGAACGGCAGCACGGACUUCGGUCUGGUGGCGAGUGGCGAACGGGUGAGUAACAUAUCGGAACGUAUCCAAUAAUGGGGGAUAACUAAUCGAAAGGUUGGCUAAUACCGCAUACGCCCUACGGGGGAAAGCUAGGGACCUUCGGGCCUGGCGUUAAUGGAGCGGCCGAUAUCUGAUUAGCUAGUUGGUGGGGUAAAGGCACACCAAGGCGACGAUCAGUAGCUGGUCUGAGAGGACGACCAGCCACACUGGAACUGAGACACGGUCCAGCCUCCUACGGGAGGCAGCAGUGGGGAAUUUUGGACGAUGGGCGCAAGCCUGAUCCAGCCAUUCCGCGUGAGUGAAGAAGGCCUUCGGGUUGUAAAGCUCUUUCGCAAGGGAAGAAAACUUAGCCUCUAACAUAGGCUGAGGUUGACGGUACCUUGAUAAGAAGCACCGGCUAACUACGUGCCAGCCGCCGCGGUAA